GUGUGUGUGUUUGUGUUUGUGUGUGUUUAUGUGCAUAUAAAAAUUCAUCAAGGUAAUAUACUCAAGAUCUGUGUUCUUUACAAAAUUUCCACCUCAGUAUUAAAAUGAAUAGAGGCAAGACUAUACCUAUUUUCUGUAUCUUUGCUUUGCGUGAAGUAUUUGCAUAGAGAUAGGGCUGGGUGUAAAAUGAAAAUACAAUCCCCCUGUUCAAAUAGUAUUAAGAAUUUCAUGAUGACAAGAGCAGAACAUUAAACCAAGUGUAGGAAUCUUCUAAGCCCGAUCCCUUAUGCACGCCCAUGAGGCCA